rnacentral:rRNA from 1 species
AGGAUGAACGCUGGCGGCGUGCCUAAUACAUGCAAGUCGAGCGGUAAGGCUACUUCGGUAGUACACGAGCGGCGGACGGCUGAGUAACACGUAGGAACGUACCCCAAAGUGAGGCAUAAGCACCAGAAAUGGUGUCUAAUACCGCAUGUGAUCUUCGGAUUAAAGCUUCGGCGCUUUGGGAACGGCCUGCGCAUGAUUAGCUUGUUGGUGAGGUAAUAGCUCACCAAGGCGACGAUCAUUAGCUGGUCUGAGAGGAUGACCAGCCAGACUGGGACUGAGAACGGCCCAGACUCCUACGGGAGGCAGCAGUAGGGAAUUUUCCACAAUGGGCGAAAGCCUGAUGGAGCAACGCCGCGUGCAGGAUGAAGGCUCUCGGGUCGUAAACUGUCUUUUAUAUGUGAGAUUAUGACGGUAGCAUAUGAAUAAGGAUCGGCUAACUCCGCGCCAGCAGCCGCGGU